rnacentral:rRNA from 1 species
GACGAACGCUGGCGGCGUGCUUAACACAUGCAAGUCGAACGGAAAGGCCCUGCUUUUGUGGGGUGCUCGAGUGGCGAACGGGUGAGUAACACGUGAGUAACCUGCCCUUGACUUUGGGAUAACUUCAGGAAACUGGGGCUAAUACCGGAUAGGAGCUCCUGCUGCAUGGUGGGGGUUGGAAAGUUUCGGCGGUUGGGGAUGGACUCGCGGCUUAUCAGCUUGUUGGUGGGGUAGUGGCUUACCAAGGCUUUGACGGGUAGCCGGCCUGAGAGGGUGACCGGCCACAUUGGGACUGAGAUCCGGCCCAGACUCCUACGGGAGGCAGCAGUGGGGAAUAUUGCACAAGGGGCGGAAGCCUGAUGCAGCAACGCCGCGUGCGGGAUGACGGCCUUCGGGUUUUAAACCGCUUUCGCCUGUGACGAAGCGUGAGUGACGGUAAUGGGUAAAGAAGCACCGGCUAACUACGUG